rnacentral:tRNA from 1 species
UGCGGCGUAGCUCAGGGGAAAGAGUGUCCCGCUUUCUACAAGGAAUCUGGUGAACCUAGACAUCACCGAUUGUAUGGGCGGGAAGGUCGCAGGUUCAAGUCCUGCCGCCGCAUCCA